AUGGCGGCGAUGAAGCAGCAGGCUCCGGAGAGCGUGCAGGGGAGGAAGGAGUUCCUGGUGGAGGUGCUGAUGCUGACGGUGCUCAGCCAGCCUAACUUCGUCAGCCUGGUCGGCUUCUGCGCACAGGGGGACGAGCGCCUGCUACUGCUUUCAAAGGUGGGGCAUGGGCUCACAGGUGAGGCCACUAGCGGUUCAACUUUGCACAUACAAGAAAACAAAAUCAAGGCACAAAUUGGACUGACAAAUGCUGACAGAGGAGGAGAACACCAUGCAAGUACGUAUGUGCCAAAAUUGAUAGAUUUACCUCUAGGCAUUGCAUUAUUUGCCGCAGUGUAG
rnacentral:rRNA from 1 species